rnacentral:ncRNA from 1 species
UAAAAGAAUAAAAUAAAUAAGUUCAUUUAAUAAUUAUAAAGAAGUGAUUGGGGAAGCUGGUUAGAUUCCAGCACAGUGCCGCUACGGUAAGCCUAUGACUUUAAAAGUCUUAGGACAAGUCCGACUGCCAAUCAUUUUUGUUUUCCCGAG